rnacentral:tRNA from 6 species
GGGGCCUUAGCUCAGCUGGGAGAGCGCGUCGUUCGCAAUGACGAGGUCGGGGGUUCGAUCCCCCCAGGCUCCACCA